rnacentral:rRNA from 1 species
GCUCAACCGAAGAAGUGCAUCGGAAACUGGGAAACUUGAGUGCAGAAGAGGACAGUGGAACUCCAUGGGUAGCGGUGAAAUGCGUAGAUAUAUGGAAGAACACCAGUGGCGAAGGCGGCUGUCUGGUCUGUAACUGACGCUGAGGCUCGAAAGUAUGGGUAGCAAACAGGAUUAGAUACCCUGGUAGUCCAUACCGUAAACGAUGAAUGCUAAGUGUUGGAGGGUUUCCGCCCUUCAGUGCUGCAGCUAACGCAUUAAGCAUUCCGCCUGGGGAGUACGGCCGCAAGGCUGAAACUCAAAGGAAUUGACGGGGGCCCGCACAAGCGGUGGAGCAUGUGGUUUAAUUCGAAGCUACGCGAAGAACCUUACCAGGUCUUGACAUACUAUGCAAAUCUAAGAGAUUAGACGUUCCCUUCGGGGACAUGGAUACAGGUGGUGCAUGGUUGUCGUCAGCUCGUGUCGUGAGAUGUUGGGUUAAGUCCCGCAACGAGCGCAACCCUUAUUAUCAGUUGCCAGCAUUAAGUUGGGCACUCUGGUGAGACUGCCGGUGACAAACCGGAGGAAGGUGGGGAUGACGUCAAAUCAUCAUGCCCCUUAUGACCUGGGCUACACACGUGCUACAAUGGAUGGUACAACG